rnacentral:tRNA from 1 species
GCACCCGUAGCUCAGCAGGAUAGAGCGUUGGCCUCCGGAGCCAAAGGUCAGAGGUUCGACUCCUCUCGGGCGCACCA